rnacentral:rRNA from 1 species
CAGAGGUGGCAAGCGUUGUUCGGAAUUACUGGGCGUAAAGGGCGCGUAGGCGGCCUUCUAAGUCAGACGUGAAAUCCCCAGGCUUAACUUGGGAACUGCGUCUGAUACUGGAGGGCUCGAGUGCGGGAGAGGGAUGUGGAAUUCCAGGUGUAGCGGUGAAAUGCGUAGAUAUCUGGAGGAACACCGGUGGCGAAGGCGGCAUCCUGGACCGACACUGACGCUGAGGCGCGAAAGCUAGGGGAGCAAACGGGAUUAGAUACCCCGGUAGUCCUAGCCCUAAACGAUGAGUGCCUGGUGUGGCGGGUAUCGAUCCCUGCCGUGCCGAAGCUAACGCAUUAAGCACUCCGCCUGGGGAGUACGGUCGCAAGGCUG